CCCUGGUCUAACAGGGACAGGCUGAUAUAGCAUAUAUCUCUGAUCUACGGGCCCUGGUCUAACAGGGACAGGGUGAUAUCCCAUAUAUAUCUGAUCUACGGGCCCUGUUCUAAUGGGGACAGGCUAAUAUCCCACAUAUUUCUGAUCUACAGGCCCUGGUCUAACAGGAACAGGGUGAUAUCCCAUAUAUAUCUGAUCUACGGGCCCUGGUCUAACAGGGACAGGCUGAUAUAGCAUAUAUAUCUGAUCUACGGGCCCUGGUCAAUCAGGGACGGGGUGAAAUCCGAUAUAUAUCUGAUUUACGGGCCCUGGUCUAACGGGGACUUGCUGAUAUCCCAUUUUAUACCUGAUCUACGGGCCCUGGUCUAACAGGGACAGGGUAAUAUCCCAUAUAUAUCUGAUGUACUUGCCCUGGUCUAACAGGGACAGGCUGAUAUCCCAUAUAUAUCUGACCUAAGGGCUCUGGUCUAACAGGGACAGGCUGAUAUAGCAUAUAUGUCUGAUCUACGGACUCUGGUCUAACAGGGACAGGGUUAUAUCCCAUAUAUAUCUGAUAUACGGGCCCUGGUCUAAUGGGGACAGGCUGAUAUCCCAUAUAUAUCUGAUCUACGGGCCCUGGUCUAAUGGGGACAGGCUGAUAUAGCAUAUAUAACUGAUCUACGGGCCCUGGUCAAUCAGGGACGGGGUGAAAUCCGAUAUAUAUCUGAUUUACGGGCCCUGGUCUAACGGGGACUUGCUGAUAUCCCAUUUUAUACCUGAUCUACGGGCCCUGGUCUAACAGGGACAGGCUGAUAUCCCACAUAUAUCUGAUCUAUGGUCCCUGGUCUAAUGGGGACAGGCUGAUAUCCCAUCUAUAUCUGAUCUACAGGCCCUGGUCUAAUGGGGACAGGCUGAUAUCCCAUAUAUAUCUGAUGUAAGUGCCCUGGUCUAACAGGGACAGGCUGAUAUCCCAUAUAUAUCUGACCUAAGGGCUCUGGUCUAACAGGGACAGGCUGAUAUAGCAUAUAUAUCUGAUCUACGGACCCUGGUCUAACAGGGACAGGGUUAUAUCCCAUAUAUAUCUGAUAUACGGGCCCUGGUCUAAUGGGGACAGGCUGAUAUCCCAUAUAUAUCUGAUCUACGGGCCCUGGUCUAACGGGGACAGGCUUAUAUCCCAUAUAUAUCUGUUCUACGG
ensembl:lncRNA